UUUUCCGUAGGGUGAACCUGCGGAGGGAUCAUUACACAAUAUGAAAGCGGGUUGGGACCUCACCUCGGUGAGGGCUCCAGCUUGUCUGAAUUAUUCACCCAUGUCUUUUGCGCACUUCUUGUUUCCUGGGCGGGUUCGCCCGCCACCAGGACCAAACCAUAAACCUUUUUGUAAUUGCAAUCAGCGUCAGUAAACAAUGUAAUUAUUACAACUUUCAACAACGGAUCUCUUGGUUCUGGCAUCGAUGAAGAACGCAGCGAAAUGCGAUACGUAGUGUGAAUUGCAGAAUUCAGUGAAUCAUCGAAUCUUUGAACGCACAUUGCGCCCUUUGGUAUUCCAAAGGGCAUGCCUGUUCGAGCGUCAUUUGUACCCUCAAGCUUUGCUUGGUGUUGGGCGUCUUUGUCUCUCACGAGACUCGCCUUAAAAUGAUUGGCAGCCGACCUACUGGUUUCGGAGCGCAGCACAAUUCUUGCACUUUGAAUCAGCCUUGGUUGAGCAUCCAUCAAGACCACAUUUUAACUUUGACCUCGAUCAUGUGGAGCGAUCUACC
rnacentral:sRNA from 1 species